rnacentral:rRNA from 1 species
UACGUAGGGUGCGAGCGUUGUCCGGAAUUAUUGGGCGUAAAGGGCUCGUAGGCGGUUUGUCGCGUCGGGAGUGAAAACUCAGGGCUUAACCCUGAGCCUGCUUCCGAUACGGGCAGACUAGAGGUAUGCAGGGGAGAACGGAAUUCCUGGUGUAGCGGUGAAAUGCGCAGAUAUCAGGAGGAACACCGGUGGUGUAGACGGCUAUCUGGACCGUAACUGACGCUGAGGCACGAAAGCGUGGGGAGCAAACAGG